rnacentral:rRNA from 1 species
AUGUACCAGUAUGUGGCGAUACGGGCGCACGACGGCUGCGCCCGCGUCGAGAAAAGUGUCGCCGACGCGCGUAGGGUGCUGGCGUCCCCACUGGUGCUGGACACCCGGAACGCCGCGGGGCGGUACACCUCGUUGCACUCCGCGAUGACCCACGUCGAGCACGCAUCCGGCUGCCUCUCCGGUGUCAUAUUCAGCAUGGUGGUGGCCGAGAUCCUGGCGCUCCAUGGCUGCGGGGCCGUCCCGUCGAGGCCGCUGGCUGGCAUUGGCGACCUCCGCCGCGACCGCGACAACCACGACGAAUGGCUCGCUCUGACCAGGCUCGAGGCCGCCAGGGAGCACGCCCAGGACGCGCUCCGAGGGGUGGAGGGUGCCUUCACCCUCCUGGCCUCCGUCCGGUUCAUGCUUCACAGCCGGACCCCCGACGCUGCCGGGCGCCGGCAAGCCAUGGAAGAGCAGCUCCACGCCGCCGCCGUCGAACUCCAGGCCGUGGUAGGCAGCGUGGCCAACAUGUCCGCGCUGGCCUUCUUGGCCACCCAGCCUGCCAUCUGCAACCGCAUCCAGUGA